AGGGUUCGAUUCUGGCUCAGGAUGAACGCUGGCGGCGUGCUUAACACAUGCAAGUCGAACGGGAUCCAUCAAGCUUGCUUGGUGGUGAGAGUGGCGAACGGGUGAGUAAUGCGUGACCGACCUGCCCCAUACACCGGAAUAGCUCCUGGAAACGGGUGGUAAUGCCGGAUGCUCCAGUUGACCGCAUGGUCCUCUGGGAAAGCUUUUGCGGUAUGGGAUGGGGUCGCGUCCUAUCAGCUUGAUGGCGGGGUAACGGCCCACCAUGGCUUCGACGGGUAGCCGGCCUGAGAGGGCGACCGGCCACAUUGGGACUGAGAUACGGCCCAGACUCCUACGGGAGGCAGCAGUGGGGAAUAUUGCACAAUGGGCGCAAGCCUGAUGCAGCGACGCCGCGUGCGGGAUGACGGCCUUCGGGUUGUAAACCGCUUUUGACUGGGAGCAAGCCCUUCGGGGUGAGUGUACCUUUCGAAUAAGCACCGGCUAACUACGUGCCAGCAGCCGCGGUAAUACGUAGGGUGCAAGCGUUAUCCGGAAUUAUUGGGCGUAAAGGGCUCGUAGGCGGUUCGUCGCGUCCGGUGUGAAAGUCCAUCGCUUAACGGUGGAUCUGCGCCGGGUACGGGCGGGCUGGAGUGCGGUAGGGGAGACUGGAAUUCCCGGUGUAACGGUGGAAUGUGUAGAUAUCGGGAAGAACACCAAUGGCGAAGGCAGGUCUCUGGGCCGUCACUGACGCUGAGGAGCGAAAGCGUGGGGAGCGAACAGGAUUAGAUACCCUGGUAGUCCACGCCGUAAACG
rnacentral:rRNA from 1 species